rnacentral:lncRNA from 8 species
AUGGCGCCACCCGGAGAUGCCCGAGGACAACAUGCGGUCAUGCUCCCAGUUCCUGGUCUUCCUAAGUGCCCAGGGCCGGGGUUCAGCAUGGGGGGGUGCUGGUGGUGCCCGGGAUGCAGCGGGCGGUGGUCCAGGACCUGGUGGAGGGGCGCAGGGGGCUUUCAGCUCAUCUACAAGCAGGCUGCAGUUGAAGUCCCUCAGUACUUGGGGGUAAACCUGCUGUUGGAGGGAGCCCCUUUAAGACGACUCCGACCGCCCACUCACAGAAUCCCUGUCAUCCCAGAACCCCCUCUCACCACACACACUCACACCAACCAUUCAGGCCCAGAGGCAGAGGACAAACCCUCCAAACCCUCCAAACCCUCCAUUCAUAGACCAUCCCCAUGCCACCGGCCCUUGGGCAAAGAGAACCAAUAGAGAUGGGUUCCCCAAUAGAGAUGAGGGUGGAGCUCUGGGGAGCCAGCACACCUCCCCUGCUAUGAGAUCGUCUCGAAGGAUGGCACCAGAGCUCGCUUUGGCAAAUGCUUGCCCGGGCGAGGCUGAGUCUGAGCAGCGGUGAGCCUCUCCGCCUGGUUCCCAGGACUCUGUCCCACUCCCUCAGCACCUCCUGUGGCACAUGAGGGGGGACUUCCACCCCUCUCACCCGAAACCCCUUCCCGCCACAGGACUUAAUAUCGCCUGGCCCUUCCUCCCAGAGUCCAUGCUGGGACCCCAACGCAGGGUUCUACACCGGGGCUUGCCCACCCUCUAUGGCCCAAUCCCAGCCCUGGAGGUCCUUGACCUGUGCCCCACCCCACUGACAGGACCCCGCCCAAUGCUGGCCUCCCACCCUGGCCUCCGCAUACACCAGCUCCUCCUACUUCCACAGGCAGGCCAUGGCCACCAAUAAAAGGGGCUGCGCUGGCAAAGGACCCAAAUCCUCUUGACGUAAAUCCUGAUCUGAAACAUAAGAGGGGAAAACACAAAACUGACUCUGGAUUAGCAUCUAUGGGCAAUGUCAACUUUUUAUUUUCUCUCUGAUGGAAGUCUUGAAAGUAGAAUGAAAUAGAACAUGAAGUAAAGACUUUCCAUCUGUGAGGUUAAUGUAUUUUAUUUAGUGUUAGAUUUAACAGUACUUCACUUCACAUACAGGACCGCCUGCAGAUAUCACUAUCAGUGAUGGUUCAGGGGACAUUCUAAGGAUGUGUUUUUGAUAACUAGGUUUUUCCUGUAUUGGUACUGUUCUUUCCAGUAAAUGGUUAAAUUGACUUUACACUUGCACACAACAUGCCAGCGUCUCACCUC